UAUGAUUGGGGUGAAGUCGUAACAAGGUAACCGUAGGUGAACCUGCAGAAGGAUCA
rnacentral:rRNA from 1 species